AGUGAACGCUGGCGGUAGGCCUAACACAUGCAAGUCGAACGGCAGCACAGUAAGAGCUUGCUCUUACGGGUGGCGAGUGGCGGACGGGUGAGGAAUACAUCGGAAUCUACUUUUUCGUGGGGGAUAACGUAGGGAAACUUACGCUAAUACCGCAUACGACCUACGGGUGAAAGCAGGGGAUCUUCGGACCUUGCGCGAUUGAAUGAGCCGAUGUCGGAUUAGCUAGUUGGCGGGGUAAGGGCCCACCAAGGCGACGAUCCGUAGCUGGUCUGAGAGGAUGAUCAGCCACACUGGAACUGCGACACGGUCCAGACUCCUACGGGAGGCAGCAGUGGGGAAUAUUGGACAAUGGGCGCAAGCCUGAUCCAGCCAUACCGCGUGGGUGAAGAAGGCCUUCGGGUUGUAAAGCCCUUUUGUUGGGAAAGAAAAGCAGCAGGUUAAUACCCCGCUGUUCUGACGGUACCCAAAGAGUAAGCACCGGCUAACUUCGUG
rnacentral:rRNA from 1 species